rnacentral:lncRNA from 1 species
UAAGGAGGGGAAACUCUGGUCAGGAUAUAAUAUAUCAGUGAAGAGUAAAUAUAAAUUAUUUUUUUAAAAAGUUAUAGACCUCGAUGAAAUGAAGGCUAAAUGUGUUACACUAAAUCUAUGCUUAAAUCCCAAUCAUUGUAUCUCUUGUUAUCAAUAUAUCUGGAAACAGAGGCUUUGAAAGAUUAAUUAAAUUAAAAUGUAACCUGACUCUGGUGACUAGCAUUGAUAGAAGAGACAAUAAAAGCACAAUGAGAACAUAGGAGAAUAGCAUCCAUCUACAAGCCAAUUGUAGAGGUGUCAGAAGACAGCAGUCUAUGAAGACCUUGAUUUUUUCAGUCUAGCCUCAAGAAACAUGAAGUAAAUGCAUGCAUGUUUAUUAAGGUACUGAGUUUGGAAUGUUUUCUUAUAGUACCACUAGGAAACUAAAAUACCACUGAAUUAGUGUCAGGCCAGUUAAUGUAUGUAUAGCCUUAAGAUCUGCUAUAGAGUGAAAAUAUAUGCUUCUUGCUUAUUUCAGAAGAAAUUUUAUUGUAAACAUAUCUAAUUGGUAUUGUGAACAACAGAGUCUGGUGCUGAAAAGAUGGAUCAACAGGCAAAGUGCUCGUUGCAAGAGUACAAACACAUGAGCUUGGGUGAGCUUUGUACGGCUGGGCUCUGCAGUGUGUGUCUGUAGUCCCAGCAUAGGUUAUGUUGGAAACACAGGCAAAGCAUAGAGGCUCACUAACAAACCAGCCUAGCCUAACUGGUGAUCCUGAUUCAGUGAGAGAUCCUGUCUAGGCAAGGUAGAGAAGCUAAUGAAAAAGACACCUAACCACAACCCCCCAUCUAUUACAUGCACACAUAUACAUAUGCAUGUGUACACAUAAGCACAUUAAAAUCAAAAGAAGCAUACAGAAAGGGAGAAUUGGAACUACUAAAUGUUUUCUGCCAUGUGUAGAAUCCAGAUCUAUGUAUGUAGGCAUAUGAUUUAUGACAUGAAAGCAAGAGAGACUAUUUGAGGGUGGGAUGUGACAAGAAAGAGAUAGGAAAGGUGACAAUGGAGAUAGCAAGUGAGAUACGCAAAUCACAGUGCCACGUGUGUAUGAAAACACCACAGUCAAAUCUAUUACUUUGUAUUUAACUCUCAAUAUUCACACUAGAAAAUGUCAGAAUUUUGUGUUCACUAAUAUUCACACAAACACAUGACAUUAGUCUUGUAUAGCCAUCUCCAUGCUGGCACUCCUUGUUCCAAGCAGACGAGACUCAAGUAACCAUCUGUAGCACAACAAACACUAGACCUUAAUCACCCUCCCUGAAUCUUUCACAUUCUCUUGACAGCACCCUUCACAGCCGCUGAAUUUAUUAUUCUUGUGUGUCUAGAUGAAAGACUGAAAAAUAGGAGCUUCUAUUUUUCUUUCCAGAAUGAAAAUAGGUUUAGAUUGUCUUACAGAGUGAAUAUUAUGAACACUUUAAUAUGUGUUCUGUAUGUCUAAGCAGGACACCACAGGAACACUUUCACCUGCUCCCAGCCUUUGGAUUUCUGGUGAGCUUUUCCAUGAAUAAUGCUUACUCUUCUAGAAAAAGCCUUUGUUUAUUCUCUUUCCUUUUGCUGCCUCUGUGUGCUGAACACCAGCCAGUCUGCUUUGAUUUCCCCACAGGCUCCCGCCAGCUUUGCAUCAGUGCAGAGCUGAGUGGGCCAGCUGGGAGUAUGGAGGAGUCCCUCCUGACAGCACUUGUUACCAGGACAGCUGUGCCUCACAUCCUGGACAGGCAACAGCGCCUGCACAGAUCCCACAGCAGAGCAGAGACAACCUGGUUCUGCCUGGGAGGCCACUGGUAUGGCAGGAUGGCAUGAUCUACUGCGCCUCACUGUAGGCCCCUAGUUGGAUAAAUACAGAACUGAAAGUCAUCAUUUGGUUUUAAUGCAAUUACUAUGCAAGGAGAAACUUUAAGCCAGGAAUUGUUUAAUAGGACUCAAUCAUAAAUGGCUCCAAAUAGAUGUGUCUGGCUGUUUUGAAUUAUCACAAAACAAAACAAACAAAC